UACGUAGGGUCCGAGCGUUGUCCGGAAUUACUGGGCGUAAAGAGCUCGUAGGUGGUUUGUCGCGUUGUUCGUGAAAACUCACAGCUUAACUGUGGGCGUGCGGGCGAUACGGGCAGACUUGAGUACUGCAGGGGAGACUGGAAUUCCUGGUGUAGCGGUGGAAUGCGCAGAUAUCAGGAGGAACACCAAUGGCGAAGGCAGAUCUCUGGGCCGUAACUGACGCUGAGGAGCGAAAACGUGGGAGCGAACAGG
rnacentral:rRNA from 1 species